rnacentral:rRNA from 1 species
CCUACGGGUGGCUGCAGUGGGGAAUAUUGCGCAAUGGGGGAAACCCUGACGCAGCGACGCCGUGUGAGGGAAGAAGGCUUUCGGGUCGUAAACCUCUGUCAGAAAGGAAGAACCUCCCAAGUCCGAAUAGGGCUUGGGACUGACGGUACUUUCAAAGGAAGCACCGGCUAACUCCGUGCCAGCAGCCGCGGUAAUACGGAGGGUGCAAGCGUUAAUCGGAAUCACUGGGCGUAAAGCGCGCGUAGGCCGCUUUGUAAGUCGGACGUGAAAGCCCUCGGCUCAACCGGGGAACUGCGUUCGAUACUGCGAGGCUUGAGUCCUGGAGAGGGUGGCGGAAUUCCGGGUGUAGGAGUGAAAUCCGUAGAUAUCCGGAGGAACACCGGUGGCGAAGGCGGCCACCUGGACAGGUACUGACGCUGAGGCGCGAAAGCGUGGGGAGCAAACAGGCUUAGAUACCCCGGUAGUC